rnacentral:rRNA from 1 species
GACGAACGCUGGCGGCGUGCCUAAUACAUGCAAGUAGAACGCACAGUUUAUACCGUAGCUUGCUACACCAUAAACUGUGAGUUGCGGACGGGUGAGUAACGCGUAGGUAACCUGCCUGGUAGCGGGGGAUAACUAUUGGAAACGAUAGCUAAUACCGCAUAAUAUUGAUUAUUGCAUGAUAAUUGAUUGAAAGAUGCUAUUGCAUCACUACCAGAUGGACCUGCGUUGUAUUAGCUAGUAGGUGAGGUAACGGCUCACCCAGGCGACGAUACAUAGCCGACCUGAGAGGGUGAUCGGCCACACUGGGACUGAGACACGGCCCAGACUCCUACGGGAGGCAGCAGUAGGGAAUCUUCGGCAAUAGACGAAAGUCUGACCGAGCAACGCCGCGUGAGUGAAGAAGGUUUUCGGAUCGUAAAGCUCUGUUGUAAGAGAAGAACGGGUGUGAGAGUGGAAAGUUCACACUGUGACGGUAUCUUACCAGAAAGGGACGGCUAACUACGUG